rnacentral:lncRNA from 1 species
CCUGACAGGGUUCUUGAAGACACAACUAAAUGAAAAUGGAUGAAAUCAGAAUGGAGCCUAAUCCGAGGUGACUGCUGUCUUUGUGAGAACAGGGAAGGAACACACAGGAAGGCUCCAGGGGUGCGUGUGAGGACAGAGCAAGGAGGUGGCCUGUCUGCCAGCCAAGGAAAAGAAACCAGCCCUGCUGACAACCGGCCCUCAGACUGCCAGCCCAGUGGGAAAACUCAUUCUGUUAUCUAAGCCACUCUGUCUGCAACGAUUGGUUAUGGCGGCCCUAAAAAAUGAGUACAUUUUCCGUCUUUGUACUGUAAAGUUGUUGUUGUUUAAUAGAUUGUCUCUUUUCUUGGGUUUAAGGAAUAUCUUCAAAAAGAGCUUGUUUUAUUGAUGAACUUGGUGUAUUAGGAACCAUCUCGGGAGGCUCUUGGCAAACACAGAAGGGGAUGAACGAGAGCACAUGCCUACCCGCUGUACAGAUCUCGCAACUGCAGAGAUAAUUGGAGAAGAUAGAUCUAUCUGCAAAGACACAAAAGGUCGAGAGUUUAUGCGAGUCAUCCUCUCAGCAGAUCUCUGGAAUGGACAAGGAAGGUAUCUUCGAUCGAAGCUGUGGGAGGAGCUUUGGACUUGGCUAAGAGCCAGAGCCCUGUAGAGGGAGCGCCAGAGAGCCACUGCGAAGACCCCAGGGGACCAGGAUGCAGCUAAGUCACCUGGAUGCGGAGAAGCUUCUGGGUCCCCACUCUACCUCGCAUCUCUUCUAGAAGGUGCCAGCUGGUGGCUAUGCUUGCACUGGAGCCUUUGCAUAGCCUACGUGGCUGUCAGUGAG